rnacentral:rRNA from 1 species
AAAUUGAAGAGUUUGAUCAUGGCUCAGAUUGAACGCUGGCGGCAGGCCUAACACAUGCAAGUCGAACGGUAACAGGAAGCAGCUUGCUGCUUCGCUGACGAGUGGCGGACGGGUGAGUAAUGUCUGGGAAACUGCCUGAUGGAGGGGGAUAACUACUGGAAACGGUGGCUAAUACCGCAUAACGUCGCAAGACCAAAGAGGGGGACCUUCGGGCCUCUUGCCAUCAGAUGUGCCCAGAUGGGAUUAGCUUGUUGGUGAGGUAACGGCUCACCAAGGCGACGAUCCCUAGCUGGUCUGAGAGGAUGACCAGCCACACUGGAACUGAGACACGGUCCAGACUCCUACGGGAGGCAGCAGUGGGGAAUAUUGCACAAUGGGCGCAAGCCUGAUGCAGCCAUGCCGCGUGUAUGAAGAAGGCCUUCGGGUUGUAAAGUACUUUCAGCGGGGAGGAAGGUGUUGUGGUUAAUAACCACAGCAAUUGACGUUACCCGCAGAAGAAGCACCGGCUAACUCCGUGCCAGCAGCCGCGGUAAUACGGAGGGUGCAAGCGUUAAUCGGAAUUACUGGGCGUAAAGCGCACGCAGGCGGUCUGUCAAGUCGGAUGUGAAAUCCCCGGGCUCAACCUGGGAACUGCAUUCGAAACUGGCAGGCUUGAGUCUUGUAGAGGGGGGUAGAAUUCCAGGUGUAGCGGUGAAAUGCGUAGAGAUCUGGAGGAAUACCGGUGGCGAAGGCGGCCCCCUGGACAAAGACUGACGCUCAGGUGCGAAAGCGUGGGGAGCAAACAGGAUUAGAUACCCUGGUAGUCCACGCCGUAAACGAUGUCUACUUGGAGGUUGUGCCCUUGAGGCGUGGCUUCCGGAGCUAACGCGUUAAGUAGACCGCCUGGGGAGUACGGCCGCAAGGUUAAAACUCAAAUGAAUUGACGGGGGCCCGCACAAGCGGUGGAGCAUGUGGUUUAAUUCGAUGCAACGCGAAGAACCUUACCUGGUCUUGACAUCCACAGAACUUUCCAGAGAUGGAUUGGUGCCUUCGGGAACUGUGAGACAGGUGCUGCAUGGCUGUCGUCAGCUCGUGUUGUGAAAUGUUGGGUUAAGUCCCGCAACGAGCGCAACCCUUAUCCUUUGUUGCCAG